rfam:Triticum aestivum genome assembly, contig: Triticum_aestivum_CS42_TGACv1_scaffold_517192_6BS
UAUCUACUCCCUCCGUUCGGAAUUACUUGUCGCGGAAAUGGAUGUAUCUAGACGUAGAUACAUCCAUUUCCGCGACAAGUAAUUCCGAACGGAGGGAGUACCAU